rnacentral:sRNA from 1 species
GCACACUGGAGUGGUGUACUAGCGGAUCAAGUAUGGACACUGACUCAGACUGAGGAGCAGCUCCACUGCACUGUGUACCGAGGAGGCAAGAGCCAGACUAGCAGGCCCACACCAGACGAGCUGGAGGCCGUGCGCAGGUAUCUCCAGCUAGAUGUCACCCUGGCUCAACUGUAUCACCACUGGGGUUCCGUGGACUCCCACUUCCAAGAGGUGGCUCAGAAAUUCCAAGGUGUGCGACUGCUGCGACAAGACCCCAUCGAAUGCCUUUUCUCUUUUAUCUGUUCCUCCAACAACAACAUCGCCCGCAUCACUGGCAUGGUGGAGCGGCUGUGCCAGGCUUUUGGACCUCGGCUCAUCCAGCUUGAUGAUGUCACCUACCAUGGCUUCCCCAGCCUGCAGGCCCUGGCUGGUGAGUAGGUGGGUCCACUGCCCCCAGGCCUUCCAUCAGCUUUCAAGAUCUGUUCAUUUCUCCCCUGGUUACCUUCUCAAGGCUUCUUGCCUUCCCAAACACUUCCCCCAUCCAGAACCGCCCUGCCUGGUCUGAUCAACUUCAG